AAUUUAAAUAACAAAUUUAUUAACACAAAGAAUCAAGUAAAUAAAUAAGAUGCAUACAUCCUAAAACUUCGAUUAUUUUUAUCGAUAAGAUUUCAAAUUUUUCCAAUUAGAAACUUAGGUAUUUCGUUUAAACUUAGGUAUUUCGUUUAAUUUCGGCCGGCCGCUCACGUUUUCAACAAGCUCGUGUCCUCGUUCUCAAAAUUCUUCUUCUCCUUCAGUGUGAGUUCAUAAAACAUUAUAAUUUAACUCUCGCCCCAACAAUAAUAAAAGCAGCAGCACGCACAUUUAAUCCAUUCUAGUCCAAACAAAAUUUCCGUAGGCCCAAACAUAAUCAUACCGCCCACUAUUAUUAAUUUGCCCAAACCAAAAAUAGUGUAGAAGCCCAAGUCUAAAACAAACCCAAUCAAUUAUUUGGCCCAAAAUAAAAGAAGUAAACAAGGAAAAAAGGAAUAAAGUAUUAGUGGUAAAACAAUAGAAAUGAAACAUAUACUCCCACUCCGUCAUACACACGUACACCCUCCAACUUUAACAAUCAUCAAAUAUUUUAAAGAAAUAAAGCAAAAGAAUGACAAAAUACUCUCUCCUUUCUUCCCAAAAAUGGGACUCAAGCACACCUCCAGAAAGGAAAUUUCCGUCGACACGAAUUGAAUAGAAAUUAGAGCUCCGUCUCCCUCAUGCUCUCGCCGACCACAUCGAAAACGAUAUUUCCAAUUCACCGCUGCAGAUCGCCGUCGCACUGCCCCAAUCGACCGGUCACUGCCUCGAUCCACCCCGAUUUGCCCCGUUUCCCCAUUAAAGAUUAUGGGAGAAGGCGAGAAAUCGCUUCAAGAUGGGAGAGGAGAAAUCUUUGCAGAUUUAAUUUUUUGCAAUUGAAGAUCUUAGAAUUUAAUUAAAUUAAUUUGGGCUCAGAUCCCUUGUAUUUUAUUUAAAUUGUGUAGCUCAUACUUUAUAAGUAUUUUACAAGAUUGGAUUUGUAUCAUUUAUUUAAUUUAUCGGAUCCAA